UUGCAGCAGCCUGAACAGAUAAGACAAACGUAUUUCGAUGCUCUGGACCUCUGCGACAAACAAUACUAACAGAAGAGCAACGUGGGAAAUGUCACAAAAGCAUUGCAGUGCUUCAAAUGUUGCCAAUUUCCGAAGUUAUUUAUGACUUUCUCUUUGCUCCACAAGGAACCGGUUGAAGAUGUUCCCUUCAUUUUGCGCAACAAAAAGAAACCCUUUAGGCUCUUCGUUUUCCACAGCGAUAAUUCAUUAUAAAUCUACGAAUUAGUUUAUUAAAUUAACAAAUCAAUGUGAUUCAUAUA